rnacentral:lncRNA from 10 species
CAGGACGAGCCGCAGACAAAACUCCUUAGACACCGGAUUGAAGAAGGCAGACUUGCGUCUCAAAAGCCGAGCUCACCGCUUUAUAUAACCUGUCUGGGAAAUUGAAGAUUGUUCAUAUCUAACUCUGCAGUUACAAAAGGACCAUGUCUCAUGGAAUUAUCCACGCUCAGAUCUUCCGCAUGGCUCAAAACCAUUUUUGGGAUAUGAGACAGGGUCUCACUAUGUUGCUCAGGCUGGUCUCAAACUCCUGGCCUCAAGCGAUCCUCCCACUUUGGACUCCUAGGAUUACAGGUGUGAGCCACCAUGCCGGCCUCUGUCAAGUCUUAUUACUUUAAAUUAUUUACCUCUGUUUGUUUAUAUAUACUUACAUACUCUGAUGGUUUAAAAGAAUAUGCAGUGAA